ACUCACAAAACUGUGCGUGGCCCAAAGAGUGGGUGCAGGCAAGCUUUUACACCAUUGAAAAAGCUGAGGAUCCCUUUUCCCCAUGAGUCACGGCUGGUGAGCAGGCCUGCGUGGAGGUGGCAGCUGCUCUCGGCGGGGCGUCCUCUAGGUCACUCCUCUCCCCGGAGACCCUGCAGCAAGAACAAAGAGCAACAUCCACACCAGGGAUGAACUUGGAAGCACCAGAGAGAAAGCGAGGGUCACCAAGGUCACCCAGGGGUGAUCCCAGUUCUCCGAAGCAUCCAGACCAGCAGAAGAGGAAUUUCACCUGGAAGGAGGUGGGAGACACGGAGGACCGCGAGCUAGAGGCCUGCACAGAUCGGACCCCGUGGACAAGUCCGCGCGGUGCUGGGGCCGGGGCUCGUGGGCCACCCCGGUGACCCUCCAUGCCCCAUCAGGAGUGGGAGGGCGGGCACCCCACCUCGCUUCCAGGAUUUAGAGGCUGUGCACCUCUCAGUCCAGGGGGAGCGUCCUCCCUUCGUCUCCUCUGCCAGGUGGGUCCCCUCAACACCAGGCACACCGAGACCGAGGAGACCCUAGCCCUGUGGACACGGAGAACAGUGCUGUGUGCAAACACCGACGCGGCCUCACCGGAGCUUCCCCUGCCCGGCACCCCCUCCGCCAGGGGUCUGUGGGGGUUGUCCGGUGUCCCCGCGAAGCUUGGCGUCCACCGUUUUGUGGGGUGUGGUCUCCGUGAGGCGACAGGGCUGCCAGGUGACUUCACAAAGGUGCCUGCGCCGUUGGGGGCCGCUUUCAGAGAGCUUUGAAUAGUGUCUCUGUGACACGUGCACUGCCCUUCAGAAAACAGAUGACGUUCAACAGGAAAGAAGAAGGUGGCCCAGCCCAUCCGGAGCCCCUGGCGAUGGCGAGCCCCCGUCCACAGGAACGGAGCCCUCUUCCGAGCAGAGCCAGCAGGCACGGGGGACAGGCCGGCGGCAGCAGCAAAGCAGACAGCUGGACGCGCUGGCCCCACUUGUAGGUGUUGGAACAAGGAAAUGCUGUGACUUUCCGCAGCCACAUGUCUGCUUUGAAGGGCACCAAGACACCAUCUUCCGUGAUAUCCGGACAGACUCCGGACUGUCGUCAUCUCCACCUGCGCGCGAGAGGCUCUGAGACCCUCUGUCCUCAGCGACUCGCCAGACCCCAGGAUGGAAAUGCCCCACCAUGAAGACCUCAUGCCCUGCUGGCACGGAUCAGCUAGUGAACACGGCGUGGCGGCGGCUGGCAGGCUCAGAGCCAGGGCUGGGUGGACCGGCGGGCUCUUGGCGAGAGCGUUCAAAACAGCCCCUCCCACCAGCUGUCGCUCCGCCCCUCAGGACCACUUCGCUUUGGCUAGAAUCCAGUAUGUUCAGGUUUUGGUGGCUGUUGCAUAAAGCAAAUCAUUUUAAAAUGAA